rnacentral:rRNA from 1 species
GUUAGGAAUAUUGGACAAUGGGCGCAAGCCUGAUCCAGCCAUGUCGCGUGAGUGAUGAAGGCCUUCGGGUUGUAAAGCUCUUUAGCCGAUGAUUAUAAUGACUGUAGUCGGAAAAUAAGCCCCGGCUAACUUCGUGCCAGCAGCCGCGGUAAUACGAAGGGGGCGAGCGUUAUUCGGAAUCACUGGGCGUAAAGCGUGCGUAGGCGGCUUUGCAAGUUGGGAGUGAAAGCCCAGGGCUCAACCCUGGAAUUGCUCUCAAAACUGCAAGGCUCGAAUUCGGGAGAGGAUAGCGGAAUUGUCAGUGUAGCAGUGAAAUGCGUAGAUAUUGACAGGAACACCAGUGGCGUAAGCGGCUAUCUGGACCGAUAUUGACGCUGAGGCACGAAAGCGUGGGGGAUCAAACAGGAUUAGAAACCCUAGUAGUCC